GAAAAUAUAAAUAAAAACAACAAAAAAAGCACCAGAUCUAACAAAAAACGGAAAAAAUCCAAAGAUAUCAAAGAAAAAUGGAAGGAGCAUCAAAUGGCAGUGCACAUAAGAAAACAGCCGGUGGCAGGUUGAUGUGGACCACCGAAAUUGAGAACCAACCUGCUCAUUGACCUGUGGCAGGAAAAAAUAGACGAUUUGCGGGGAGUCCGUAAGAACUCGCACGUUUAUAUGGAAAUGAAUCAGACCAUGAAAGAGGGUUGUGGGCUCGAUGUUGGAUGGACGGAAGUGCGAACGAAGCUUGAAAAUUUGACCAAAAAAUACAGGAUGGAAAAAAAUAAAGUGGGUCCAAGCGGGGGGCUCCCUCUGGAUGGCAGCAUUAUGAGAACCCAGAUGACAUUUCAAACGGAUUUAAUGCAAUUUUUAAGAGAAUAUAAACAGCAGUAGUAGGUUUUCAUAAUACAUUUUGUAUUAUUUUUAAAUUUAAGUAAUAAUUAUAA